GAUGAACGCUGGCGGCGUGCCUAAUACAUGCAAGUCGAGCGAACGGACGAUAAGCUUGUUUCUCUCUUGUUAGCGGCGCACGGGUGAGUAACACGUGGAUAACCUACCUAUAAGACUGAGAUAACUUCGGGACACCGGAGCUAAUACCGGAUAAUAUUCUGAACCGUAUGGUUCAAAAGAGAAAGACGGUCUUGCUGUCACUUAUAGAUGGAUCCCAGCUGCAUUAGCUAGUUGGUAAGGUAACGGCUUACCAAGGCAACGAUGCGUAGCCGACCUGAGAGAGUGAUCGGCCACACUAGAACUGGAACACGGACCAGACUCCUAAGGGAGGCAGCAGUAGCGAAUGUUCCGCAAUGGGCGGAAGUCUGACGGAGCGACGCCGCGUGAGUGAUGAAGGUCUUCGGAUCGUAAUACUCUGUUAUGAGGGGAGAACAUAUGUGUAAGGAACUGUGCACAGCUUGACGGUAAUUAGUAAGAAAGCAACGGCUAACUACGUG
rnacentral:rRNA from 1 species